rnacentral:rRNA from 1 species
GACGAACGCUGGCGGCGUGCUUAACACAUGCAAGUCGAACGGAAAGGCCUGCUUUCCCUUGUGGAUUGCGGGUGCUCGAGUGGCGAACGGGUGAGUAACACGUGAGUGAUCUGCCCCCAACUUGGGUAUAAGCCUGGGAAACUGGGUCUAAUUCCCGAUAGGACUGCAGGGUGGUGCCUGUGGUGGAAAACGAUUUUCUAGUGGUUGGGGAUGAGCUGGCGGCCUAUCAGCUUGUUGGUGGGGUAAUGGCCUACCAAGGCGGCGACGGGUAGCCGGCCUGGGAGGGUGGACGGCGACAUUGGGACAGAGAUGUGGCCCAGACGCGUACGAGAGGCAGCAGUGGGGAAUAUUGCACAGUGGGCGGAAGCGUGAUGCAGCGACGCCGCGUGGGGGAUGACGGCCUUCGGGUUGUAAACUACUUUCGACCGAGAGGAAGCCACCUGGUUGGAAGGGUGGUGACGGUAGUGGUAGAAGAAGCACCGGCUAACUACGUG